UACGAAGGGUGCAAGCGUUAAUCGGAAUUACUGGGCGUAAAGCGUGCGUAGGCGGCCAACUAAGUCAGACGUGAAAUCCCUCGGCUUAACCGGGGAACUGCGUCUGAUACUGGAUGGCUUGAGUUUGGGAGAGGGAUGCGGAAUUCCAGGUGUAGCGGUGAAAUGCGUAGAUAUCUGGAGGAACACCGGUGGCGAAGGCGGCAUCCUGGACCAACACUGACGCUGAGUGAGCGAAAGCCAGGGGAGCAAACGGG
rnacentral:rRNA from 1 species